UUGACUCAAAUUUAUAUGGAGUUGGAACGUUUGCCUACGUUUGCUGCUAGGGGUGCUGUUCUAACUGCAUACAAAUUUGAGUAA
rnacentral:pre_miRNA from 1 species